GGGAGGAAAUAAUAAACACGGUAUGGGUGUGCUCUUGAAAGCAUCCAAAGGACCUUAGAUUAUUUAGAAAGAGGCUUAAGUGAUGCCCCCCCCCCCCCCCCCAAACUCUUCAAACUCUGAGCAUAGCCCCCUUCCCCUUUAAAAAGCUAAGAGGGUCCCUAGGAGCGUGGCUAGAAACACGCCACGGCGUACCUCACAGCCCAAUAAACAGAUAAAGGGUUCUAUGUUUCGUCAGUAAUGCAUAGUCAUUCAAUUCUGAAAUUCCAAACGAAAUCGUGGGCACGAAGGAAUGCGCACGGUUCGAGAGUAGUACUCCAGUCGUCAAGAGUAAAACAAGUGGCCACUUGAAAGGGUUUGGCAUACACGUGGUCAAUGACUCAACAUACUUCACAUAGACAUGAAACCAUGAGACUGUUAACUGCUGAAGUUCUGCGGGGAGGAGUAAGGCUAAUAAGACUAUGAGAGCGUGACGUUUCCUGCUGAGGGAGAGCGUAGAUUCUGAGGCAAAUUCCCCAGGUGCAACACCAACACAGCUGUGCGGGCGGCUUUUCGACACACAAGAAGCCCAUGGACAAACUCUGACUUUUUAGGUUUUUAUUACUGUUCCCUCAAUACUCGAAUUUGCUAAAGCUUGAUUCCAAAGUUUAGAAAUUUAAACAUUUUCUCAGAGUUGUGGACGUACUAGGGCUGCUGUUGACACGACAAUUAAUACUUUUUUAGUAUCGCGAGUAAAAUUUCAGAUACAUGGGUUUAUACAAAGCUAGUAAUUUUUUAUUGGCGUUCCGCUCCACAAAAUGUAAUAAAACGAGUUGCCACAAAUA